UACGUAGGGUGCAAGCGUUUGUCCGGAAUUAUUGGGCGUAAAGAGCUCGUAGGCGGUUUGUCGCGUCUGCUGUGAAAACGCGAGGCUCAACCUCGCGCCUGCAGUGGGUACGGGCAGACUAGAGUGCGGUAGGGGAGAUUGGAAUUCCUGGUGUAGCGGUGGAAUGCGCAGAUACCAGGAGGAACACCGAUGGCGAAGGCAGAUCUCUGGGCCGUAACUGACGCUGAGGAGCGAAAGCGUGGGGAGCGAACAGG
rnacentral:rRNA from 1 species